rnacentral:lncRNA from 10 species
CCUGUGGGAAGUAACUGAAUCAUGGGGGCAGUUACCCCAUGCUGCUGAUUUGCAGCUAGUGAGGGACUUCUCACGAGAUCUGAAGGUUUUAUAAGAGGCUUUUCCCCCUUUUACUCGGCACUUCCUGUUGUCAUUAUGUGAAGAAGGACGUGAUUGCUUCCCCUUCCACCAUGAUUCAAAAGAAACAUGGCUAUAAAAUGUGUGUCUAAAAAUAUCCGGCAUCUUCAAGGAGUCAAGGUUUGAAAGCUGAGAUUGAGUGGUCAAUUUAAAGUAUGUCUUGUUUGGAAGGACACAGUGUCUACAUUUAUCG